rnacentral:rRNA from 1 species
UACGGAGGGUGCAAGCGUUAAUCGGAAUUACUGGGCGUAAAGCGUGCGCAGGCGGUUUGUUAAGUCCGCUGUGAAAUCCCCGAGCUCAACUUGGGAAUUGCAGUGGAUACUGGCAAGCUGGAGUAUGGUAGAGGAAGGUGGAAUUCCCGGUGUAGCAGUGAAAUGCGUAGAGAUCGGGAGGAACACCAGUGGCGAAGGCGGCCUUCUGGACCAAUACUGACGCUCAUGCACGAAAGCGAGGGGAGCAAACAGG